UAUUGGACAAUGGGCGCAAGCCUGAUCCAGCAGCGCCGCGUGGAGGACGAAGGUCUUCGGAUCGUAAACUCCUGUCAGGUGGGGCGAAGGCUGCGGGGCAAAUAGUCCUGCAGCUUGACGGUACCACCAGAGGAAGCCCCGGCUAAGUUCGUGCCAGCAGCCGCGGUAAGACGAACCGUGCGAACGUUAUUCGGAAUCACUGGGCUUAAAGCGCGUGUAGGCGGAUGAGCACGUCUGUCGCUGAAAUCCCCCGGCUCAACCGGGGAACGGGCGGAGAUACGGCUCAUCUGGAGGGGCGUAGGGGGACCUGGAACUUCCGGUGGAGCGGUGAAAUGCGUUGAGAUCGGAAGGAACGCCCGUGGCGAAAGCGAGGUCCUGGACGCCUACUGACGCUGAGACGCGAAAGCCAGGGGAGCGAAC
rnacentral:rRNA from 1 species